CCCAACAUCAAGAACAAAAUCGAUCAGACUGUUUUUGAUUUGGCUAACGAUGCAGAAAUGAAGCAGAUCAUUACAGGAAAUGUUAUGAAAGGCAUGACGCGACAUGUUAAAAUGUUUGAGGGGCCUCUUUGGAAGAGCUCGAGGUUUUUUGGCUGGCGCUCCUACUGGGUAGUUCUUCAGGAUGGAGUCUUGUCAUGGUACCCUAAACAGUGAG